CUGUUCAGCACGUUCUUCGACCAGACUGAAGACGCACGAUUCGCCGGGUGAUACGGGCCAGAGUAGCAAGAUACGGCGGGUGCACACAUGGCGGAAGAUAUCGACGAUCCUGAAGAAUUGUACGAUAUAGUGGAAAUGGAAAUAGAACGUACGAGCCAGAGCAGCUUGGUAAAGGUGAGGAAGAGAACGAUUGGUUUUGUGGCUGCAAGCCUGCCCCAGCGAGUUCAGCUGAGCAGCCAGUAGCUAUUUUCGAUAGUAGCGUCCAGCCAACUCCUCGCAAAAGAUCAGAAUGCACCAUGCUCGGGAGAUGCAGAAUUAAAGAAUGUUCAAAUUGUUAAAAUAUCACAAAAGAUUUUGCAAAGAACAGCCGUUGCGCUGCCAAUUCUGCAGUUUAUUUCCCAGUACACGAAGCAAUUUAGUGUACCAAUUUGUCAACGUCAUUACCCUGAAGUACUAGAAAUGGUCCG